rnacentral:rRNA from 1 species
CCUACGGGCGGCAGCAGUGAGGAAUAUUGGUCAAUGGACGAGAGUCUGAACCAGCCAAGUAGCGUGAAGGAUGACUGCCCUAUGGGUUGUAAACUUCUUUUAUAUGGGAGUAAAAUGUUCCACGUGUGGGAUUUUGUAUGUACCAUAUGAAUAAGGAUCGGCUAACUCCGUGCCAGCAGCCGCGGUAAUACGGAGGAUCCGAGCGUUAUCCGGAUUUAUUGGGUUUAAAGGGAGCGUAGGUGGAUUGUUAAGUCAGUUGUGAAAGUUUGCGGCUCAACCGUAAAAUUGCAGUUGAAACUGGCAGUCUUGAGUACAGUAGAGGUGGGCGGAAUUCGUGGUGUAGCGGUGAAAUGCUUAGAUAUCACGAAGAACUCCGAUUGCGAAGGCAGUUCACUGGACUGCAACUGACACUGAGGCUCGAAAGUGUGGGUAUCAAACAGGAUUAGAUACCCGUGUAGUC